GUUUUCUUUGUCACUGCCCGAAGGAACUGAACAUUCAGGAUGCCCCCAAUGAGUCCACAGAUGCAGCAGGCAGAGAAAAGGAUCAUCUGGGAAGAAAAAAGAAAGGGAGUGUCAAGGUUGAGGGAGCCAGGCUGACCCAGAACACAGUGCCUUGUCCUGCUGCACCUCAAGGAUGUCUGAGCUACAGUAAAGGGAAGGGGCUUUGGUGCUUCUCAGAGGGCAGGCGCUCUCCUUUCACCAAGUUUCUGUGCAAGCAGACUCAGUGGAGAGAGCACAGACCGCAGUGUUUCAGGACAGCUGACUGUAUAAAGGCUAAGGAUACAUCUUUUGAAAACCCUGAAAACAUGGUCUUCACUCCAGUCCUCUGUCUUGCCAAUCCUACAGCUUGUUCAUUCCCAUCUCAAUGACAUUUUCCAUUUCCUGGAAAUGAUGUCGCUUCUUUCUUGGACUCCUAGAUGGAAGACCCAAAGGCAGUCCUAUCCUCUUCGGAAAGCCUUCCUGGAUUUGCUGCUCUCCUCCUUUGGCAAAAUCCCAUUGGGCAAACAGGUGAGCUGGCGCCACCGGGAGCUGGCCACAUGUGGGACCCACCAUGGGAGUAGAAGGCCUGAAAGGGGCAGCGACGGAUGGAUGUCUAAUACCAGACUCCAGAGACUCCCUAGGCUUAUAUGAUGAAGGAAGGUU